UUCUUCUUCUUCUUCUUCUUCUUCUAAACCCUUAAAAAUAAACUAAUCUCCUUCGUUCGUUCUCUUGUAGAAGCCGAUCCCUCUUCUCCUUGGCUUCUUUGAUUUAUCGUUGCUGAAAAAGCUUAUAUCUUCAGCUUUCUUCUCCUCGAUCUGUUGUUGUGAGAUUCGGUUUGGAUGAUCGGGAGAUACGUAACAGGGCGAUCAAACGGUGCUGAGUUAGUGACGUGGUGGCGAGCGAGGCUUUUGGGUCCUCUUCUUCUGGUUCCUCAUGGCGGUGCUCUUGCUUGCUUGCUUCUUCUUCUUCCCUUCUAGGGUUUUAUUAAUUAGAUAAAACAUAUCGAUUCUUCCAAGAACGCCAUUGGACUAAAAGCUUACAGCUGUGAGUUAACAAAGAACCUGUUUUAUCUUCUACAGACUACAAGAUAGUUUCAGUUCCUGAAAUCAGAGCAACGGAUCAUUCAAGGUAGAGCCUAUGUGUAACUCCAACUAUAGACAUAUGGCAGAAAAGGGGAAUUCCUCUGAGUUACGUUUUGGCCAACUCAAGGAACUGUUCUGAAGCGGGUAGACAUAUCUUGGUGGGGAGGUUGAAACUUACCAUGUAUUGGAUUCUGGAUAUUGCUCCAUUUUAUGACAUGGGAUAUGCUCAUUCAAUAGUGAAAACUGCAGGCAUAUGCUCAAUUUGUGGACCUAUUAUCUUGAACUUUCUACAAACCCAAAGACUUCUUCUGUGGAGUUUGGAGCUGAUGAGGCUAGUUUAAUUGUGACUAUGUUCCUGAUGGUAUAACGAAAGUGAGACUGGUGUAACAGAAGUGAGACUACCCAUAUUUUAUAAAUUCCCCAUGCUCAUAUUCAUCAAGCUGAAAAAUGCAUGGUCUCGAGGAAGCCAUCAAUGUUGCUGCAAAAGAGACUGGGGUCUUCAGUGCCUUCAUUAUGAGAUCAGGGAUAUCAUGCCUCCUAAUGGAGUAAGAGUUGCUAUGGAAAUGCAAGCUGAAGCUGUAGAAAGAGAGCCCAGAUUCUCGAGUCUGCAAGUAUCCUUAAUAGUUUAUGUUCUGGGAUUGAAACUAUGUGCCUGCUACUGCACAUUUCGUUCACAUUCCUUGAUCAAAGCUACCAAUUUCUCCUUUUUAAUUUAUUUACAAUUAGAACACAAUAAAUCCUGCUUAAAAUGUUGUUCCUCAUAAUCUGCUAACU